GGGCCGGGGUCUGGUGGAAGGAGCCCCGGAGGGGUUAGAUGCCCGCCUGCUUCUUCCUGCGGUCUUUUCCUGCCUCUGGUGUGGAUCGCGUGGGGGUCUUUUCCACCCCCUCGCCUGGCUUCUCACCACCAACCCCUGAUAUAAUCUCCAUGACAACUGCAAUCUAGGAGCAUACACAUAAUAGAGAUGAAAUAGACAAAAGAUUAGCAUGCCAUGAAAAGUACAAUAAGUUUCUUAUUUAGCAUUUAGAUAACUGUCUUUCCUUCGGAGCAAGCUUCAAAGUUGAAGCCAGUUUAGACCAAGAGGAUUAAUUCUCUCUCCCGCAUGCUUCAUUGAAUCUCUCAUUACCAAACUUUGUCUGUAUUGAUGUAAGAUUUGAUUGAAGAUUAGAGCAUUUAGCAAAUCUUGCUUUUCUGCAUGUCUCAGGUCCUUUCAAGCAGGGAUCGCCGUGCCCAGUGGUCAAUACCCUUACUUUUAUCCAGUGUCUGCUUCAUUUAAACUUAAUCAACUCCAUCAAUGAACUGGAACAGGGAAACGUCCCUGCGGUCUGUUCCUCCUUUCCGUCACCUGCUGCUCACCUGCCUCACUGAAGCACCCCAGGUGUCGAAGUCACUGAGCCCGAGGAGAUGACGUGACUUCAGGAUGAACGCGGUGCAGCUGGCUGGAUCUGAUUCCUCUCUGCUCCUUCUUCAUUGUUUUAGAAGAAAAAGAAUAGCUUUACUCUCAGAUGUUCAUUGAAGACUUGUUCUGGGCUAGGGGUCGAAUCCGAGCUGCAGCUGCCAGCCAGAGCAACGAUGGAUCCACUGAGCGAGGCCAGGGAUUGAACCCGCCGUGAGUAUGUUUUACAAAGUGACUGUGGCUUUCACGAGAUUGUGUGUCGCUCUCCUGGACAUAAAGAGCUCAUCGAAAUUGUCCAAAUGGAGCCCUUUGCAAAGAAUCGUCCUGUUUGCCCAAGCAAUUUAAAACGUGAAACGGACACCCUUCUCCGGCAGGAACCCGUGUCGUUAACUCAGAAGAGUUAAGGUCUAUCCCUCUGAGAGCCUGGCGAACCCCGAGCAGGGGCUGGAGGAGCCCGGGUGGCUCCCGGUGGCUUCAGAAGCCGGAGCGCGGCCUCUCCUGUGGGCCUUUGCUUCCUGGGCAAGAUCGGUGAACAGGCAGACCCGCAGCCGCCUGCAGGUGGCGUGGCUGGGGAGCGGCCUCCUUUGGCAUCAGCUGCUGCAUGCGCCCCAGAUCAAAUGUCAGCUGCCAGGACCAACUGGUGCCUCCUGGAGGUCUUUAAAAACUGAUUUUCCAGCUGUGAGAGGCUGCGGCAUUGUUCUGCUUUUGGCCACCUUCUCUCUGGCCAGCCCGCUGGCAGCAGCCACGCAGGGCAGCCCGAAUGCGUCGAAUCAAAGGGUCAGCAAUGCAGCGGGCGCCCAGCCCCCGUCUCUCCUCGCUCGGCUGUCUGAUGUCAGCCCAUCAAAGGCCCUGCAUAUGGCCCGGUGCUUGCUCAUCAUUCACCUCACAAGCCUCUCGAAUUUUCACGAGUCAGAGGAGGCGCCAGGAGAAAAUUUGCGGCCCCUGAGGGUGCCCUAGGGGUGGUUAAUAGCCUGGGAGGGCGACAAGAAAGGGCGAAGUUUAGUGUGCUGUGGUUCCCAAUUGUUUGGCUAACAGCCGGAGGUUGACCUUGAGCUUGCGUCUGCCACAUGGCGGAGGCACCAGCCGGGCAGCACGUUGGGAGGGAUCAGAAAUAAUGGAACUUGAACAUGCAAAUGAUUUUAAUGAAUUCUUGCCUCCUCCCCCCUCCCCCCAGUUCCAUGUGCAAGAAGGGACGUUUCUCAGCUUCUAGGGGGAAAGUCACUCCUCGCUCUGCGUCUAGGAACACAAUGGAGCGCCGUCUGCUGAGGGCCCUGCCCGCUGCCUGAGCCUCACCAGCUCGACUGUCCUGGAUCAGAGGGAAGCACGGCGGGCUGUGUGCUGUGACAUGGUCCCAGCUCGGGACAGUGGCCAAAGGAGACCAAGACAAAGAGCUUUUUUUUAUGAGAAUGAUUGCCUGGUAGUUAAAUGGUGAAGGCCAGCGCAGGACUUAGCUGCCCUGGCAGUGGGCUUGUGUAGACGGGACUGGUCGCUGUGUGUGUCCUGGGGCUGAUCCCAGUGUUGCUGUCCCCAUCUGCCUCAGUGCAGGCACCUCCUUUCUUCCAAAAUGCGGCUUGGCAGAGAAGCGGGGGCUUUCUUGCCCCCCUUGGGUGCUGUUCCUGGAUAAUUUGAUUGACCCUCCAUCACUGUCAGGUCGCUGACCUUGUAGGAUUCAUUCUUGGUCUUAAAAUCUGAGCCCUGGGAUCCUUGGGUGGCAGAAUGGACAUUUAAGGAAAGGAACUUAAUCCCUUGUCGCCCGCCCGUAUGGAACUCCUGAUCCUGGGGCCCGGCUGAGCUCCCUGUGCCCCUGGGACUUGCCUGUAGGCAGCCAAGCUUAUGGAUGCAAACAAACGGGAUAAGGCCAAGGAGGCCCAUGAAGGUACAUGGGGCUCUCACAGAUUUGACCUCAGGAUCUCCCAGAGUUACCCCGUGUUUCGAAAACUGUAAAGUGAUAGACAAAUGUAAGUGGCUGUUGCUAUGGUUACUUUAUAACAUGCUGCCCUUUUUUUUUUUUUAAUGCAGACAUACUCUCUCUGGUAGAAUUGGUUAUCUGAGAAAAAUCAGAUGAGCACAAGAAGUGCUGUCUUCACCACAUGGCAGUUGUUCAGAAUCUACUUCCAAGGGUCACGCUUGUGCAGUGUCGUUUGUCUGUGAAGGCAACCUGGAGGUGUGGCCUAUCUUAAAAAUGGCCUUUGGAAACAAGACCAGUUUGGAGCCGAUGAUAAGAGAAUGUGAGCCCAGUGUUUUGAAUUGUGAGCUGUAGAAACCGAGUUAAUCAAUAGGAAAGUGCGAUUUGAUGCCAGAUUUUCACCCUUCGCCUUAGGUACCCUGUCCUCCUCCUCAACAGGCCCUGUCGCCGAUGGCUUGCUUAUAGGCUGUUACGGGUCGCACAAAGAAGAGAAGUUAAACCGGGGGCUCUUUGAAUAUAGCACAGUGCUGAAAAAUAGCGUUUACCUUUUCCUUUUAAAACCUGCAUGUCUCUUUCAAAUGCUUAAAUUAUUUUGGCUGAACGGGAAGCCUCGGCCAUGCGCCUGGGCUAAUACCGUUGUUCUAGGAAUGGGCUUUGAAAGCACCACGUGGUGAUUUUUUUCGAGACAGGAAACCUUGGUUCUGGAGCCCCCCCAGUCCGUUGUGCUGAAGGAGAAGGCAUCAGCCAGUGUUUCUGUGAAGGUGCUUUUGCAACCUGCAGGCAGAACAGCGGCUCGGGAUAUUUCGCAAAUUUGCAUUUGCUUUGUUGAUUCCGUAUGAAACCAGAAUAACCAGGCACGUGGAAGGUAGAGCCCUCUUUUAAUUAACCCUCUUGGUGUGGGUCCGUGUGAUUAAAGACGACGGAGCUGCUCCUGGGGUUUCUGCUACGGAAAAUACUAACAAUAAUCAUUUGUUUUGUUUUUAUAUUUAAACACAUUAUUGCAUAGCUUGGUGCAGAGAUAAUUACCAAUUUUAUCUCCUGUGUUUUUCUAAUGUUCAUUAAUAACAAUAAAGGGUUGUAGGUUAAAAACUCAUUUAAUUGCCUUUAUGUUAAUGACAUUAUGAAUAGCCUUAGCUACAAGAUUCUAAUUCUGUCCAGUAUCCUCUUUCGCGGUGGAGCCCCAGGAGAGCUGCUCAUUUUAUCAGCAUUACUGAUUCAGAGUUUUUCCUUGCAGGUGGGUUUUUGUACAUAAUCAGAAUUAAUGCACAACACAUUUUGCAAGGAAUGGAGUAGAAGCAGUCGGAAUAAGUAAUUAACUAGAGUGCUCAAGGAAAUAUGCCCGAGCAUUUUUUUUAGCAUAUUCAUAAAACAUUAAGACCAGUCAUAAACACAGUAGAAGCAAUUUCCUGGUAAUGUGCUUUUAGACUAUUUUCUGGCUCCCUUUUUAUUUUUUUAUUUCUUCCAUAAGGGGAAAAGAAAUCUUUUUUCAGCUGAAAAUCCCAGGAAUGCCGAUCAAAUGCCCAAUGUGUGGUCGCUUUGGGAUUCGCUGUGCUUCUGUGCUGCAGAGGCCGGGGCCAUCCCGUCCUCAUCCCCUGGUCCCGUCUGCAUCACCUAACUUACCAGGCAGCGAGCGGAGUGAGUGCACUCGGCAGCAUCACAGGAGACGUGGACACCCGCCUCCUCCGAUCCCUAGCACUGACCUCUGGGCGUGGGAGAGAAUGCCAAGGGGGGAGGAGGGGGCAAGAAGCAAGGACUAGGGCAGUGGCCACAUGGUACGCGCUCCCCCCCCCCACCCCCGGCAGACCCCUCCCACUUAGACUGAUACCACUUAUCUCUCAACUCAGUCACCCUCCUCAGGUCAUCAAGGUCAUGUCCCUACCCCCACCCCCCCAGGCAGCCUGCAUCCAAGCACGGGACAGUAGGAGAGUUUUAAAGUCUGGUCCCCCUUGCCUGGAGGUGGGAUGAUUCAGAAGAGCACGCUGACAUCAGAGUGCCCUGGCGGAUUGCCUGAGGCCUUUGUCCUGCAUCCCUCGCCCUCCUCACAGAUGCCGUGCAGAGAGCACUGCCCCAGAAACCUCCGUGCACAAAUCUCCACAUCUGUUUCCCAGGGACCCACAACUGCGUGCCAGUGAUCAACUGGCCCGCGUCCAUGCCGUCCAGCGGGCACCGAAGCAGCAGUUCCUCCCUGGCCUCUUUGAUCUUGGUGUCCUCUUAGGUGCCUUGGGCACAGAGCUUGACCCCAUGAAUGGAGCCAGGACCAGGGCACAGAUACACGGCCUUCCCCUUGAACAGGCAUCAAAGAGCUAAGGUGUAAAAUCCUGGACCUUGGGGUCAGAGGAGUGAAGUCACAUACGGGCUGUGGCUCCUAGACAAGGUGUUAACAUCAUCAACCUCAGUUUCCAUAUCUGGAAAGUGGGGCUAAGGCACAGGAAGUGGUGAUACAGUGUUUAGCACGGUGCCCAACACGCACUAAUGCUCCCUGGAGUCACCAGUUCGCUUUUUCUUCUUCUCCAGCCUCCCACUGUUCUUCCUCUGGAGCGUAUGACUUUGGGUACUGAGCUUAGUCUUCAGUAUUAGCCAGACCAGUUUCUUCAGGACUGAGGUUCAGAAUGGCCCUGGUUCUCGUGGAGUUUACCGUUCAGUCCAAACGGGAGCCUGCAGAGGAAGGUGGCACAGACUCAGCAUAAAGCUCCGGUCAAAGGAAGAACCAGAAUAAGACCCCAGAUGACUUACAGCGAGGCCACGUUUGGUUCUUCCAAAUACCGUUAAGAAGUAAGCCAUGGUACUAGUUUGUUAGGCAUCUGGAGCCUUGAAUGCAUUAACGCGUUUAAUUCUUUUCGCAUCCUUAAUUAGAUACUAUUAUGCCCAUCUUACAAGUGAGGAAACUUAGGUUCGGAGAGGUUAAGAAACUUGCCUUGAAAACAAAAAUCCCUGCCUUUCACCCUACUUUUUAACAGAGGACCCAAGACUUGAAAAUUUGUUUUAGAUUAUCCCCAACAUCAGUACUUCCCAGCCAAUUACUCCGUGGUAGUAAAAGUCGCAAAAAAUUCAAGUGCCCUCCAAAGAUAAUUUUACGGUGGUCCCCGGCUCUAGUGGACAUCGCACAGUGACGUGUCAGCGUGUCCCGGUGCUUUAUUGAAUAGGGACUCGGCUUUUCCUGAGGCAGCAGAACCUGGAACACAGCUGCCUCGAUCUUGAAAUGAGAGAUACCUGUGUCAAAAGCCCCGUUUAAGAGACGUGGAAGUCAUAUUUUUCAAACCAACAUCACGUUAGAUUUGAUUCAUCUCAUGUUCCAAAGCGCAUCGGGUGCAAGAAUGUCAUUUCCUUGUAAUAACCAUCGAUUUGUGUGGCACGUAAACUUUAUCAAAGGCUCACUGACUUUGCGGCAGCUUGGUGGCGUGGAUAUUGGAGUCCCAUUGACCAGAUGAGACUUACUUCUUUUAGGAAACUGUCCAAUUGCCAAAAGUUCUCCUGGCAGUGAGAUGGCCCAACCCACAUUCUGUCGAACCCCAGCUGCUCAAAGGGUGGUCCUCGGACCGGCAGUGCAGCCUCAUUGGGGAGCUUGUUGGAAAUGAAGGCUCUCGGGCCGCAUCCAGUUCUCCUGAAUCAGAAUCUUUUAACAAGACCGCCGUAAAUGCCCAUGCCUGUCGAUGUUGGAGAAGCUGGGUCUUCUCCCCGUCCCCACACCUCUCUUUCCAGAGUCUAGACUGUAAGCCCCGUGAGGGCCAGGCCUGCCCCAGCUGGUCUACCGUGGUACCCCCAGACUCGCCCGGUGCCCAGGCCAGAGCAGGUGUCCCACUAGACACAUCCACCACCGCAUCUCUGGGUAGUUGGUUCCGCCACCUACUUCGUGUCUGCAUCCCUUCUGGAGGGAACAGCAUCAUCUUUCAUGUCGCUGAAAGCCCACCCUCAGCACAAAAGUAUUUGCCUUAUUCACUUGAAAAAGGUGAAAUCAUGCUUGAAAAAUACACCGAAGCCUGGGGUUUGCCACCCUGUGUCUCAGCCUGUGAAACCAGUGCCUGUGGAGAGUGGGGACAUUGUACUGUGUAAUUAUUUAAAUGAAAACAACAUAAAUGAAGAGAAGGGCUAUUUCUAUCAAGUGCUGCUAAUUAAAUGAGAACUAAUGGGCCCUGCUGAGAAAGGAUACAGCCGGAGCGAGCAUGACAAACUUGCUGCCAGUGAAGACCAGCAGACAACGGGACAGUUUUCCUAGUGGGAUAAUUAUGACUCCUGGAGGAGACUGUCCGAGGCAGGAUGAGGUAAGUACCAGGCAAGUGUAAUGUGCUUCCAGCCCUAUUAUCAAUGAUGCUUUCAGGCACCGGCUCCGGGUCACAGAUUCUGAAUAUACUAAAUGCUUAAUUCAGUGCCACCCUUUCACCCCAAAGAUCUCAGGGUAAGAGAAAAAUGUGGGCACCAGGCCGGCGCUCCCUGGUUUAACUCUUCCCUGAAACACUCUAGGAAUAAAUGACGGAGGAGGAAAUUAUUACUCCAGCCUCGCUCUCCCACCCACAAAGUGAUUUCCAUUUCAAACAGCUGAUGGAACAACCACGGGGUCAUCAGAAAGCUUGGGAAGAUGAUCCCCCAAAACCCCUGCCUUAUUUUUCUUCGAGAUCUCUCUGAAAAAAUAAUUUCGAAGCGGGAGAUUGGUGCUGUGGAAGUGAAAGCCUCCUAUUCAGAAAAUCAAUGCAGAUUGAGGUAUCAUAAGGAGCUGUUGAUUUUUAAGCUGCUGCGUUGAAAAUGACUUGUUUUCUCAUUAGUUGGACCUGGUUCCUGGCUACGAUACAAGUAAGACACAUAAUGUAAAACAUAUUCUUGCAGCAUUUGUUUGACUUUCAAUUUGUCCUUGGAAGAUUUGGGGCCUAAAGUGAAGAAAGAUUCACAGAGCAUUCAAAAGGCUGCAAGUCACAGAUGCUACACAGCAAGGGCCCUUAAGAGCUUAAGCUCGGGCUAGAAGGGUCCCAGUAGCUCUGGCGUCUGGUCCAGGCACCCUAUUUCUCUAGGUCCUGUGUUCCUCAUUGGUACGAUGGGGGUAACAAUCAAAGCCACCUCUAAGUGACUGGGAAGGAAAAAAGUGACCUAGUUCUAUUCCAUAAAUGGAAUAUGCAUGGCCUGGCUGGAUUGAGCUCCGCAGAAAUGUUAGCUGUUUUGUUAUGCGAAUGAAUAGCUUCUGUUUGAAGGUAUUUCUGAUUUUAUAGAUACUUGGGUACCUUCUGUGUGAUCGGAACAAUGCGCAGCUAGUUUCCUGCCAUCGGGGAGCUUACACACUAAUUGGGAAAUGAUGUGGGGGGAGGCAGCUCUUACGGGAAAUGAAGGCAGCGUGAUGAACGUCGAAGGCAAGAUGGUGUGACCUAAGGAGGAGAUGGGCGGGCGGGAAGGGCCUGGGCAGGGCGAAGGCAAGAGCGGGGGCUUCAGGGGGAAGUUAGCUGCACUGUGAUCAGACCUUGGGGGCCACGAGGGUCUGGAGAGGGGUGAUGAACUGCACCCCGGUGACCUCACCCACACACUUUUGGGAACCCGUUGGUUCUCCGAGAGGCACAGGCCACUUGGGAGAGGGUUUGGCUUGAUGGCAGCCUAUGGGUCCCAUUCCGUGUGGCUGCUGAGCCAGGUUAUUCCUCUGCUCAUGUUUACUGAGCAUGUAUGUAUGUCAGGCACCGGAGAUGCAGACGCAAGCAGAAGGAACCAAGCCGCGGGCUGACCGAGCUCAAACGCUAAUGGGGGAGGGUGUAACAUUAGCACACAAAUCUCUGGAAUCGUCUCGGUGGAGAUGAAGCAGGGCAGGGGACAGAGAAGGAUGGUGAGAUGCUGUCCCUUUGAGGGUGGGACCCAAGAGCCCAGGUCUGGAGACCGGAGGAAGAGCGUCCAGGCCAGAGGGAGCAGCGCCGCCAAGGCUCCCAAGGUGAGCUUCCGUUUCGCACCGGGAAAGAAGGCCCGUCCCGCCAGAAAGGAGCAAGUGGCCAUCCAAGGGCCGUGUGUACGCGUGUCCUGCCCAGCACUCCAGGCGUCUCUGCCCAGGGACACGCCAACGAGCAAGGUAAGGUUCGGAAUCAUUGACCGCACUUCCUAAGGUAAGUUCACAGAAUCAGAGGGAUGCUAGGGAUACAGGUGGCGUUUGCGAGCUGAUCAACUCUUCAGUCUGGUGAAUACCGGCAGGUUAAGGUGUGUUCCCAUUGUUUAGGCCACCGUUCCAGGGGUGGCCUUAGUUUGAAUUAGUUUCCAUUUUUCUACCUGCUAAAGAUGAUUGUUACUUAGUGAAAUUACUUGGUGUAGGAAAAACCCAGGCAAGAGUCUAUUUCCAGAUGAGAGUAAGUGAGGGUGCUGUGUGCUGGGAACUUUAUCUCGGGGCUUCCCCCCGAAUGAGACCACAUUAUUGUCUGACACCAAUAAUUCAAGUGACAAUGUGUUGUUGCAGGUCUGUUCACUUGAAAUCUUGAACUAAAUCUGUCAAAAGUUUUCUUUUUUUGCAAACUGGCUAAAACGUUUGGCGGGGCGGUGGGAGGGGGGAAAUUGCCACGGAAGCCAGAUGUUGAGAAACCUUUGUCUCAGCCCGAGGAGAAUGUUGUUUUUAUUUCAAAAUGUCUGCCUGUUCCAAUUUUGAUUUGCCUGUUUUCUUAAACUGUGCUGAUAAAACACAGACAUCUCACGUGCAAACAAUAAUCAGUCUUCUCACUGGAGGGAGAGAAUAAUUAUUGCUGCGGGUGUAUAGAUAGAGUGUUCCCAGCUUCUGGAUUCCUUAACCUUUCGGUGGAAAAGACUCGUGGGAGAUUAUUGAGGAAAAAGUGGUUUUUCCUUCCAGAUGGAUCUGUUGGCUAGGGCAGUGUUUUUAGUUAUGCCAACAAAAGGAAAGGGAGACAGCAAAUCCGGCACCUGCCGGAGUGGUUAGUGUGGGACUCUUCCCAAGGCAGACACGAGGCCAAAGAGGUCCCUCUUUUCCGUCCGAGCUCCAAGCCAGCUCCCAUUUUUCACAGCAGCGCUUCAUGGUGGACAUGAACUUAGGCCUCCCCGCCAGGGGCUGACCUGCCCUGUACGUUUGGUGCCUCUCCCACCUGUCAUCCCGCGCUCCCUCGGUAAUUUUAUCAAAUAGCAUGCACCUUUUCCAGCCACUUAUUGGCCAAUUAAGUCAAGUUCUCACUGAGGGGGUCCAGCUGGCUUCAAGGUAUCUAAGAUGCAUUGAUUGAAGACACUCUGCAAUCUAUGAACCCAGUUUAAUGAUCUAGGUGAUGAUACUUGUAAUGCUUCUCAGUCAGGGGAAUUUGCUGCCGCUGUUGUUGGCAAAUCUGCGUUCUGAUACGCGGAAGGACCAGAAAAGCAUUAAUCCGCCCUCGAGUUCCGUAGCGAUGGCUGCGCUGUGAAAAGGGAAACUUAAAAUUCCCUCGGCAGAGCCAAGCCAAGACUAUCUUCUCGCUGAUGUGUUUUUAUUUUAUCCCUUUGAAAGGUUUUUUUAAGGUGGAAGGUGGGGCAGAAUACAUUGAUGAUAAUUCUUUAUCAGGAAUGGAGAAAAGCAAGUACGUGGGCUCAUUCCAUUUUCCUGCCGAAAACAGCUCGUCAAGUGUUGGAGAUACAAAAAAGCCCUGCUUUAAGGCAAGGGCAUGAUUUUCUGAAAUAUUGGGGUGGGGCUCCAAGGACCGAAGUUAUUAUUUUUAUACGGAAUAUUUGCUCCCACCCCCUGGAUUCAUGGCCAUUGAAGUGAUAAUGAAGCCGUGUCACACGGUGACACAGGCCUUCGGUGUCUCUCCAAACACUUUUCUGCACAGUGACAUAUUUUUUUAAAGUAAUCAUUAAGUAAUUUGCUUGCUUCCUUUCCAAUCUCUGCCUUGUUCCCCGCACCGCUGAAACGUUAAUUCUCCUCCCUAUGAAGCAAAUGCUGUAAAUAACACUCUGGAGGUUUUUCUGGGUGUUGCAAAUUCAGAACAUGCUCAGGAGCCCUCCGUCCUACCGCGGUCUGUGAAGUUUCUGCUUACAAACUGAAAAGCUGGUUUUGAUUUUCUUGGGAAAGUGGCAGCUGUGAUACUCAUUUACUCCGUGCGGAGGAGAAGCCGCUGCCGCUCUCUUUCCGGAGCCUGGGUCCCUUUUCCCUGGGAGGCGCGAUUGAACUUGGCUUUGUGGAUGUGUGGCUUGCUGGGAAAGGCUGGUGUUUUUGAUGGGAUUUUAGAUUCUUUCCAAUGACGCUGGACGAACCACAGACUAGAAGGAUGGAUUUUCAAGCGGAGCGUAGGCUUUGUGGGCAAACUGAACUGGAUCAUGCUCCUACUUUAGACUUAUGGAUCCGGAUUUAACCAAGAGAGCGAAUAUCCCCCAAGGAAGACACUUUUCCAACCAGAAAAAGGCAAAGCCAGACGGAGUUUUGGCAUCUGGCAUGAAACAUACUGAAUUUUCACUGAGAACAAAAUAUCUGAUUAUUCAAAGAACUCUCUUCUGCAUUUUUUCCCCCUCUGUGUGGCCCCUUUGUUGAUGGGUUAACCCAGCUUAAAAUGUUCUAACUGAAAAAUCUUUUUUUUUUUUUUUGCUUUUUUUAGGCCCUCACCUACGGCAUAUGGAAGUGCCUGGGCUAGGGGCCAAUCAGAGCUACACCUGCUGACCUACACAACAGCCACAGCAA